rnacentral:rRNA from 1 species
AGAGUUUGAUCCUGGCUCAGGAUGAACGCUGGCGGCGUGCCUAACACAUGCAAGUUGAGCGAUUUACUUCGGUAAAGAGCGGCGGACGGGUGAGUAACGCGUGGGUAACCUACCCUGUACACACGGAUAACAUACCGAAAGGUAUGCUAAUACGGGAUAAUAUAUUUGAGAGGCAUCUCUUGAAUAUCAAAGGUGAGCCAGUACAGGAUGGACCCGCGUCUGAUUAGCUAGUUGGUAAGGUAACGGCUUACCAAGGCGACGAUCAGUAGCCGACCUGAGAGGGUGAUCGGCCACAUUGGAACUGAGACACGGUCCAAACUCCUACGGGAGGCAGCAGUGGGGAAUAUUGCACAAUGGGCGAAAGCCUGAUGCAGCAACGCCGCGUGAGUGAUGAAGGCCUUCGGGUCGUAAAACUCUGUCCUCAAGGAAGAUAAUGACGGUACUUGAGGAGGAAGCCCCGGCUAACUACGUGCCAGCAGCCGCGGUAAUACGUAGGGGGCUAGCGUUAUCCGGAUUUACUGGGCGUAAAGGGUGCGUAGGCGGUCUUUCAAGUCAGGAGUGAAAGGCUACGGCUCAACCGUAGUAAGCUCUUGAAACUGGGAGACUUGAGUGCAGGAGAGGAGAGUGGAAUUCCUAGUGUAGCGGUGAAAUGCGUAGAUAUUAGGAGGAACACCAGUUGCGAAGGCGGCUCUCUGGACUGUAACUGACGCUGAGGCACGAAAGCGUGGGGAGCAAACAGGAUUAGAUACCCUGGUAGUCCACGCUGUAA